rnacentral:rRNA from 1 species
AGAGUUUGAUCCUGGCUCAGGAUGAACGCUGGCGGCGUGCCUAACACAUGCAAGUCGAACGAAGACUGUGCGGCGGAACUCUCCGGAGGGAAGACGCGCAGGACUGAGUGGCGGACGGGUGAGUAACGCGUGGGUAACCUGCCCUGUACAGGGGGACAACAGCUGGAAACGGCUGCUAAUACCGCAUAAGCCUACAGUACCGCAUGGUACAGCAGGAAAAACUCCGGUGGUACAGGAUGGGCCCGCGUCUGAUUAGUUAGUUGGCAGGGUAACGGCCUACCAAGACAACGAUCAGUAGCCGGCUUGAGAGAGUGGACGGCCACAUUGGGACUGAGACACGGCCCAAACUCCUACGGGAGGCAGCAGUGGGGAAUAUUGCACAAUGGGGGGAACCCUGAUGCAGCAACGCCGCGUGAGUGAAGAAGUAUUUCGCUAUGUAAAGCUCUAUCAGCAGGGAAGAAAAUGACGGUACCUGACUAAGAAGCUCCGGCUAAAUACGUGCCAGCAGCCGCGGUAAUACGUAUGGAGCAAGCGUUAUCCGGAUUUACUGGGUGUAAAGGGAGCGCAGGCGGUACGGCAAGUCCGAUGUGAAAGCCCGGGGCUCAACCCCGGGACUGCAUUGGAAACUGCCGCACUAGAGUGCCGGAGAGGUAAGUGGAAUUCCUAGUGUAGCGGUGAAAUGCGUAGAUAUUAGGAGGAACACCAGUGGCGAAGGCGGCUUACUGGACGGUAACUGACGCUGAGGCUCGAAAGCGUGGGGAGCAAACAGGAUUAGAUACCCUGGUAGUCCACGCCGUAAACGA